AACGAACGCUGGCGGCAGGCCUAACACAUGCAAGUCGAACGCCGUAGCAAUACGGAGUGGCAGACGGGUGAGUAACGCGUGGGAACAUACCCCUCGGUUCGGAAUAAACUCAGGGAAACGUUAGAGCUAAUACCGGAUACGUCCGAGGUUUUAAUUCGGCCUUGGAGAAGGAUUUAUCGCCGGAGGAUUGGCCCGCGUCUGAUUAGCUUGUUGGUGAGGUAAUGGCUCACCAAGGCGACGANCAGUAGCUGGUCUGAGAGGAUGAUCAGCCACAUUGGGACUGAGACACGGCCCAAACUCCUACGGGAGGCAGCAGUGGGGAUAUUGGACAAUGGGCGAAAGCCUGAUCCAGCCAUGCCGCGUGAGUGAUGAAGGCCUUAGGGUUGUAAAGCUCUUUACCCGGGUAAGAUAAUGACGAUACCGGGAGAAUAAGCCCCGGCUAACUUCGUGCCAGCAGCCGCUGUAAC
rnacentral:rRNA from 1 species